CUCUGUCAGCGCAGCGGGAGGAAUGGCAAGGUCCCACCCAGCCCAGAGGCUCCGGAGCAGCUCUGCCUGGUGGGCAAGGCUGGGUGGGCACGCUGGGCUCCUGCCGUGCCAGGCUGGCUCCCUGCUGGUGCCACGGGCAGAGCUCAGGCUCAGCCACGCUGCUGGGCUGCACAGCCCUGCCCUGGAGGUCCAGGGAGAGCGCUGGCACCAGCCCAGCCUCUGUGCCGGAGGAAGGGAAUCUAGGUCACAGAUCCUCUCUGAGAACAAGCACAUCUGAUGCUGCCAAGGGAAACAAACUGGCAGGAGAGAGGGGAACAAACUGGCUUGAAAGCAACAGGAGGAUGGGGAGAAGUAACUCAGGGAUUGAAACAAGGAUACCCCGGGAAAGCUUUGUAGGUGGCUGCCAGUUGUUCAAAAACAGAGUGGCUCACUGCUGGCUGCAAUUGAAGGAAGAAAAGGUAUCUGUGGUUAUUUGUGAAUACCCUCUGUACUAUCACAACAGUAGUAUAUGUGGGAAUCCUUGUCUGCUCCUGAAGUCUGAAGCAAUUUUGGAACCUCUGCCACCACAGGACUUUGUUUCUUCCCAAGAAACUAUGUUUGGCAGAACAGAAUAACAUAUUUGGCCGGACCCGAGGGCAUUUUUAUGAGUUCCAUGUGAGAUGCUGAAGCCUUAACUUAAUUGGCUUUACAUUCCUCAGGAAGAUAUACACCCUGUAUCCACAUCCACUCAGUCUGCUCUCCUUUUCAACCUUGUUACUGCAACUAUUGAUUUCUCUUGCUUUAGUCCAGCCCAAUGCUUAUGUAAAUCAACUCAGUUGCUACAACCUGUGCUGAGUCAGGAAUGCAAAAUUCACAGCCUUUCUUGCUUUCCUCCUCUUCCCCCUAUUGCCAGUGAUGUUUUCAUUUUGGAAUUCUGCAUGGAGAUCAGAAUUGUACCCAAAGCUAUUACAAAUUCCUCAUCUGUGGAACUUAAGAAAGUGGCUUUUUAUAACAUCAGUAUCGUGCAUAUCCUAUGCAUGGUCGGCCCUGUGGAGUUCUAAAACUCAAAUUGUUUAGUGCAUUUUACAGAAAAAUUGAUUGGAGCCCAGGCAAGUGUCCCUUUCCUCACCCUGUCCCUGCUAAGCAGAUGCAGAGUGAUGUCCACCCCUAAACCCUAUGCCACAGGGGCUGCUCUCCCCAUCCUCCCCCAGCCAGCAGCCAUGACUCCUGGACUGUGAUCAAAGUGCCUCUUCUGUGACACUGAACAAAAGCCAAUGCCCCAUGUAAAAGGGAGGUUUAUUGGUGGAAAGGUAUACAUGAUUAUGCUACAGAACUGGACAGAUGUGCUGUGAAAGGAAAUAGAGAAUCAGAUACUAGCUCAAUCAACGUCACAGAUUCCCACUCUGAUUCCUAAGGUGCUUUCCAGGACUUCAUGACAGAAGAAAAUAGGGUGCUUGACCACUUGUUCAACACUUAUGGUGCUCCUGCAGGCGAAAAUCCAAGAGAAAAUAACCUCAGUGAGAACCAAUCAUUAGCUGCAGGUUACAAAACACAGGGUUUUUUUUCAAGAUACAGGGUAGUCAGUUCUUUCUGUGUGAAACACAAAAAAGCUGGACCAAGGUCUUGCAGCAGGCUGUGCCUGGACUCCUCAGAAACUGCUCAUGAGGAAACAGCCAGCAGAAGUGCUGUGCUGAGCAGGGUGCAGACCUGGCCUCCUCUACAGCCACGCAGCAUCAUACCUCUGACUAGUUAGUACACUCUCUCCAUGAUUCAUGUCACCCUGUGCUCUCCUCAGAUAAUGUAUUUACUGUCCCAGAAAAAGUUUCUGUUAGUCCAUGUGGAAAACCUGGCUUGGACCUGGGCAGCACAGGCUGCAGAGGGAAGACUUUCAAGGAUGGCCAUAGAAGCCAAGCUCUUCCCAUGAAUAGUGAUGUGGUCCCCACUUGGAUUCCACUGGUGUCAAGUGACAGGAUCUGGCCACUCUCUCCGCCUGCUCUCUGAGAAGCCUCAUGGAGACUUCAUUUAUUUGGGAAUGGUUACUGUUCUACUCACUCUGCUUUUGCUGCUUUAUACUUCACUUUCUUAUCUGCCUGUUCCAUUAUUUUCUGACUUUCACUUACCUUUUUGAAUUCUUAG